UAGUUUAAUUAUAGGAUUCCGGUUUUGGGG
rnacentral:tRNA from 1 species